UGAGUGGCAGGUAGUGGGCGUGGCUUGCCAAUUAGCUCGCAGGUGUGCUCAUGCGCAGCAGUUCUUGGGGAACAUCUUGAGCUCCUGUUUGGAGUGAGUUCGGGAGCUGCUCCACUAAACCUUCUGCCAACAUGUGUUGCAAACUCUUCAGCUUGGUUUGUACCGACCCAUUUCAACAUGGAGGCGCACGUGUUGACAGUACGCCGACGGAAGGAGCCGGAACUCCAACUUCAAGAUUGCCCAGUUUGGGGGGUUAAGUCCAACACAGAAAAAGUGGGAAAAAUGGGAACCUUUGAUGCCACUAGAUCAGUUUCUUCUGCCAGUACCCAUCUCCGUCACUGCCACAUCAGCUGGUCCCAAGGUUGGGAGGUCAUCCAAACAUCUGGCCCCUCCACCAUGUUUUCUAAGGACGAUGAAAGUCUCCCCCGUUUGGAUCUACGUCGUAUCGUUGUGUUCGGCAACAUGCUCAGACUCUACUUUCAGUUCACAGAUGAUGAUAUAACCAUGGCAACAGAGACACCUUGGAGAAGGGCAAGAAGAAAACUUUAGACAUUACUGUCAAUCAAAACCCAGGAACAUAAAAGUCUUGUGAUGAUGUCGCCCGACGUGCUGAGAAACACCUUAAAACUUGAAUGUAAGACUUAUUACAUGAAUCCUUGUUGAUAUCUUUCACUUACUCUAACCUUACACGGGCAACUUUAAGCCGGAGACGCUUUCCUAAAAUAGCGAAACAAUCAGCAAAGCAGACACACACAUUCAAAAUAAUUUGAGGUUCCUCUGAUCAGCCGUCAGUUAACAUAGUCAUCAAUAGGACUAAUGUUCUGUGAGCAGAGUGGCACGCCAUGGCCCAGAGUGUGAAAACCUUCAAAACAUCGAAGAAGUGCCAACCCUGAGACUUGGCCUAACCUUGCCUUGAGCCACGUGUUGAUGAGUCUUCAGUGUGACUGAAACUUCAAAGGCGUUUCACUUCACUAAGCAGAAGGAUGCUCCUUCUCUCUCGUCGUCUCUCGUCUUCACUCAACUCAAUCCUUCUCAACGAGGACAUCUGAAAGGUUUGGAAAGAGACAGAUGAAAAGUUUGCUUGGCACUUUCUUGGAACAGUUUGGACCACUGUUGAUGAAACGCUGCUAUCACUGGUCUUUAACCAGUUAGUUUGAUGUGAAUGACAGAAGGCGGGGGGGCCUGCAGUGCAUAUGUUUUAUAUUCAGGGUACAACAAAUAAAAGCCUGGGAAUAAAUUCAUGAACAAAGUAAAACCCGCUUCACAUCAGAGCUCUGUAAUUAAAUCAAUGUUUUGCAUAUUUAAAGAAUUUGUACAUCUUGGCACCUUUACACACAACUGGUGACUGUGUGUGUGUGUGUGUGUGUGUGUGUGUGUGGGGUGUGUGGGAAGGGGGGGGGGGAGUUUUUGUGUUCACAUGACAAAUGGAGGCAGGAAAAGUGUGGUCUUUCCAAAGGCCGCCUGCAAGAACCCGAUGGAUGCACAAAGUAACACUGAGAGGAGCGAGGUUACAACCCAAAGCCUUCAAUGUUAUAAUUACAGCUCUUUCUUCCUCCCUGACGAACACAAAGAGGAGAUGUUUCUCUCCCCCUCUCGUCUCCACCUCUCACUGCACAGCUUGGCGAGCUCGCAUUAAUUGCUCCCAAAAGCUGUGGAAGCACAACAAGUGCUUCUCAUCCUGGUGUAAUUGUGUCUGUAGGAGUUGGAGGGGCUUGAGAAGAAAGAGGGCUCUGCUGCUUAAGGAAAGGCUUUGUGAGCUGAGGACGUUUGGAAGAAGCGUGAUAUGAUGGUGCACUCUGGUGGACAGACAGGGGAAGGAGAGAAUAUGAAGUCACACAGAAAGUGUGUCCUUCUUGUUUGACAUGAUAAAAUCACUCGUUGUACAGCCACGUGUGGGAGAACUGAGUAAUGUCAAUUUAUUUCCCUGUGAAUUAAGAAAAACAUAAUACAAUACAUAACAUGCACAAUAGACCUUAACUAGCUUAAUGUACACAAUAGCAAGAGGGGAUUAUCAGAAUUUAAACACCUGAUCGAGUAAAAUGAAAGUGAAUUUUAAUAACAAUUUUAUUUUGCAAUUGUGUUUUCAUAGGUCUAACAUCUCUCACGGUCUCUCUGAUUAAACUACCUGCUCAAGAGUCUCUUAUGUUGUAGCCUAUAUAUCUAUCUCUAUCUAUACUAGUGUGAGUUGAUAACAUGUUUCAUCUUUAGCAACAAACAGGAAAUUCUAAAUGAAACUGGAGUGACUAUUGAUGUUGCAUAG
ensembl:lncRNA